ANACAUGCAGUCGAGCGCUCACUUCGGUGGGAGCGGCGGACGGGUUAGUAACGCGUGGGAACGUGCCCAGAUCUAAGGAAUAGCCACUGGAAACGGUGAGUAAUACCUUAUACGCCCUUCGGGGGAAAGAUUUAUCGGAUUUGGAUCGGCCCGCGUUAGAUUAGAUAGUUGGUGGGGUAACGGCCUACCAAGUCUACGGUCUAUAGCUGGUUUUAGAGGAUGAUCAGCAACACUGGGACUGAGACACGGCCCAGACUCCUACGGGAGGCAGCAGUGGGGAAUCUUGGACAAUGGGGGCAACCCUGAUCCAGCCAUGCCGCGUGAGUGAUGAAGGCCUUAGGGUCGUAAAGCUCUUUCGCCAGGGAUGAUAAUGACAGUACCUGGUAAAGAAACCCCGGCUAACUCCGUGCCAGCAGCCGCGGUAAUACGGAGGGGGUCAGCGUUGUUCGGAAUUACUGGGCGUAAAGCGCGCGUAGGCGGAUUGGAAAGUUGGGGGUGAAAUCCCGGGGCUCAACCCCGGAACUGCCUCCAAAACUAUCAGUCUAGAGUUCGAGAGAGGUGAGUGGAAUUCCGAGUGUAGAGGUGAAAUUCGUAGAUUUUCGGAGGAAACCAGUGGCGAAGGCGGCUCACUGGCUCGAUACUGAC
rnacentral:rRNA from 1 species